ACAUGGUCAGCUGCAGAUUCGCGUUGGUUCUAGAACUGCCAGCAGUUGCGACUUCUGACUGUGGUGGUUUCCUGUUUGAAACAGAGGUGGUGCGGCUCUAGAGGGGGCAGCUUCCUGAUUUCAAGAGUAUUGAAGAGACAGCAGCUACCACGGCAGCACCAUUGUUAGGCGUGGCAUUAGAGGUUGCUCCAGAAAGUUCCACCUGGAUUCUGUGUCCUCAGCCUCUUGACAAUUCUGCCCUCGGAGACUCCUGAUGUUGAGAACUGCAUGUCCAUUCCAACCUGCCCAUUCCCAGGGCGGAUCCUCAGUGAGGCUGCUGGGGCAAGAGACCCACCCAAGGACCCAGGGAGGAGUCGGAGCUGAAGAACCAGGACUAGACCCCAAGGCUGGACUUGGCCCGACACACGGGAGCUGUGGUGCGGCUGUGGGCUCCUCACCAUCACUGCUCCUCUCCAAACGGGCUGGAAGAUGUUUGAAGAUGCCAUGUCUGGGGCUGGUGCAGCUGUACUGAGAAAAUGAGGAGACCCAACUAAAAUGCUGGGAAUGACAUAGAGGAAAAGCAGAAAGACCUGGUAUUUGAUGCCAUUCAGCAGUUGAAUUAAACUAUU